rnacentral:misc_RNA from 1 species
GAUGAAGAACGUAGCGAAAUGCGAUAAGUAGUGUGAAUUGCAGAAUUCAGUGAAUCAUCGAAUCUUUGAACGCACAUUGCGCCCCUUGGUAUUCCAUGGGGCAUGCCUGUUCGAGCGUCAUUAUAACCCUUCAAGCUCAGCUUGGUGUUGGGGCCUGCUGUAACUGGUAGCCCUUAAAAUCAGUGGCAGUGCUAUUAGGCUCUAAGCGUAGUAAUUCUUCUCGCUAUAGUGUGUAGUGAGCGCUUCCCAGAACCCCAAACUUUUAUAUGAUUGACCUCGGAUCAGGUAGGGAUACCCGCUGAACUUAAGCAUAUCAAUAAGCGGAGGA